GGAGCCUAGAUGACACAAGCUGUGUGUGCUGCACGGGAUGGAGCUGGAGAAGUGACCCAAGCCCCUUGGAGAAGCCCAAAAGAUCGAGGCCACAGUUGAACAACUUUGAACUUUUGAAGAGAUUUUUGGAUUUUAAUAGAGACUUUUUUUUAAAGAUUGAAUUUUAAAGUAUUUGAAUUUGUAAAGAUGUUCUAAGUCCGUAAAAUGUUUAUCUUAGGAUGUUUAUAUUAAUGUGUGAUCUUUGGGAUAAACAAUAAAGGAAAGGUUGUAGCUUAAGAGUGAUAUGUUUGUGUGCCAAGUUGACAAGAAGUCAGUUGUGCUGGCUACUUUUAUGUCAGCUUCACACAAGCUAAGUCAAAUAAGCCCUUUCCUUCCCACAUUGCUUCUGGUCCUGGUGUUUCAUCACAGCAAAAUUAACCCUAACAAGCACGUUCUAAUUGCAUAUUUAUCCUUCUUUAAAAUGAUAAUGAAUUUCAGAGUUCACCUUUCUGGCUUAGAGUUACUAAGUUAUCAACUUAGAAAACUCCCAGAAAGUUGGACUUACCAAAUUAACAUUGAUUUUGAUCUAAUGGGGUUUUCAUGAUAUUUGAUAAAUUUGUAUGGUCCAAAGAACUAUAGGUCCCCUAAGGAAUAUCCCUAAGCUUACUGAAAAAUGUGCUAAAGUUUAGUUCCCAGAACCCCAUGGACAGGGACAAGGGCACCGGGACACUCUAUAGUAUUGAACUGUGCAGAGUGCAGACUUACAACAAGGACUCCCUGUGAGCUGAAAUUCAUGCCCAUGGCCUCUCCAAAAAGAAGGAACAAAAAAGAACUUGUGAACAGCUCUAGAAUUAAAAAAAAAAAAAAAAGGGUGUGGGGGGGGGCUUUUUCAGGCCCUUCCAGGACAGAGAAGUUGGGUUCCUUCCCCUGACCUCCAUGGGGAUUGGCCAAGAGUUCUGAGAAGACGGUUUUGCAACUAAGAAAUCACAAGGCUGGAGUGAAAUGAAAACAAGCAAGGUCCUUUAUCAGCUGAGGACCGUUGGCUCUACUCUGUAGGACUUCAGACAGAGGAAAAUCAAGGGCUAGAGCAGAAAAAUGUUGCAACAUAGGAAAGACUCCCUUUGCAUGAUGUGCCUGCUACCAUGACAGAUGACAGUCACGGGAGCCACCACCAAAGGGUCCACGUAUGCUGUCUCACUUUGCAUUCAAUAAUACCCACCUCUACAGAGAAAGGCAAGAAUAUCAGUCCUGUGCUGGAUGUUGAGUCCAAGUACACAGGUCACAGACCUUGCAUCUGUUUGCAGUGUACAUGGGAUUUUUAUGGUAUCUGUUGAUAAUAAUUUUAUUAUAUGCUUAUUCUCAUGGUCAUAUCAGAAGACUUCUUCAAGAAAAACGAUCUUUAAAACAUAUAGGCUUAAAUCGUAUUUUAAAAUAUUAUAUUUCAUUUGGCUUUACUUAUUUUGAAAGCUAUUUUAAUGAUACAAAUACCAUACAGUGUAUGUUUGUCAUAUAAAUUUCAAAUAACGUAAAACCGAAAGUCAAUCUUUACUCACUCCCCCAUAGCCAGAAUAAGAAUGUGGGUACUUUUGGAAACGAUUCUUUCAGAAUUUUACAGUGAUCCACAUCUACAAAAAGAAAGGUGUAGAAAUACUCUUGAGUAUGUAUGUAAUAUGUAUGUUAUAUAUGUAUGUAUGUAAAUUUACAUAUAUACUGUGGAGUUGUUUUAUUGUAACAAUAAAAUCAUAGGUUUUAU
rnacentral:lncRNA from 1 species